GACGAACGCUGGCGGCGUGCUUAACACAUGCAAGUCGAACGGAGCACCCCUGAAGGAGUUUUCGGACAACGGAAGGGAAUGCUUAGUGGCGGACUGGUGAGUAACGCGUGAGGAACCUGCCUUUCGGAGGGGGACAACAGUUGGAAACGACUGCUAAUACCGCAUGAUGCAUUUGGACCGCAUGGUCUGGAUGCCAAAGAUUUAUCGCCGAAAGAUGGCCUCGCGUCUGAUUAGCUGGUUGGUGGGGUAACGGCCUACCAAGGCGACGAUCAGUAGCCGGACUGAGAGGUUGACCGGCCACAUUGGGACUGAGAUACGGCCCAG
rnacentral:rRNA from 1 species